rnacentral:other from 1 species
GUUCAAAAUCCUUUUCUCAUUUCGCAAUAUUUGAAU